rnacentral:lncRNA from 1 species
GAGAAAAGGCCCCUGAGAAAUCAGGGCAAAGUCCCACAGUGUCUCUUUCCCCAUAGUGUCACUGGCGUGGGGGUUACCUUCCCACUAUGUCCCCCAGAAGACAUGAGGCCACAGACUGCAGUGCCCGUGGACAGAGGAGCUGUGGGGAUGGAAGUGUGAUUGCUUCAUUCAAAUGCACGCCCCGGUGCGUGUGCGUCUCUUCUGAUGCAGCGCCCCAUGGAUACCCCAUCAGCCUGAGUCUCUUAAAGGCCUUUAUACACACAUGUCUACACAUAGGGAUUUGGAUUAUCUCGGGAUCCCACAUCCUCGCUGUCCCCUGUCCCCCCGCAACAUCCCCCACCAAUACCUUUCUGAAGUUUUCUAGUCCCUCCUUUUUGUUUGUGCUCCUUAAAGCCCAGCCCCAUGCCUGACUUUGGUUCCCAGUGAGCAUUGUACAUUUGUGGAUAUUAAAUCUUUGGCAAAGUCAUUUACCU